GCAAGUCGAACGGUAACAGGAAGCAGCUUGCUGCUUUGCUGACGAGUGGCGGACGGGUGAGUAAUGUCUGGGAAACUGCCUGAUGGAGGGGGAUAACUACUGGAAACGGUGGCUAAUACCGCAUAACGUCGCAAGACCAAAGAGGGGGACCUUCGGGCCUCUUGCCAUCAGAUGUGCCCAGAUGGGAUUAGCUUGUUGGUGAGGUAACGGCUCACCAAGGCGACGAUCCCUAGCUGGUCUGAGAGGAUGACCAGCCACACUGGAACUGAGACACGGUCCAGACUCCUACGGGAGGCAGCAGUGGGGAAUAUUGCACAAUGGGCGCAAGCCUGAUGCAGCCAUGCCGCGUGUAUGAAGAAGGCCUUCGGGUUGUAAAGUACUUUCAGCGGGGAGGAAGGUGUUGUGGUUAAUAACCGCAGCAAUUGACGUUACCCGCAGAAGAAGCACCGGCUAACUCCGUGCCAGCAGCCGCGGUAAUACGGAGGGUGCAAGCGUUAAUCGGAAUUACUGGGCGUAAAGCGCACGCAGGCGGUCUGUCAAGUCGGAUGUGAAAUCCCCGGGCUCAACCUGGGAACUGCAUUCGAAACUGGCAGGCUUGAGUCUUGUAGAGGGGGGUAGAAUUCCAGGUGUAGCGGUGAAAUGCGUAGAGAUCUGGAGGAAUACCGGUGGCGAAGGCGGCCCCCUGGACAAAGACUGACGCUCAGGUGCGAAAGCGUGGGGAGCAAACAGGAUUAGAUACCCUGGUAGUCCACGCCGUAAACGAUGUCUACUUGGAGGUUGUGCCCUUGAGGCGUGGCUUCCGGAGCUAACGCGUUAAGUAGACCGCCUGGGGAGUACGGCCGCAAGGUUAAAACUCAAAUGAAUUGACGGGGGCCCGCACAAGCGGUGGAGCAUGUGGUUUAAUUCGAUGCAACGCGAAGAACCUUACCUGGUCUUGACAUCCACAGAACUUUCCAGAGAUGGAUUGGUGCCUUCGGGAACUGUGAGACAGGUGCUGCAUGGCUGUCGUCAGCUCGUGUUGUGAAAUGUUGGGUUAAGUCCCGCAACGAG
rnacentral:rRNA from 1 species